UGCCAGCCGCCGCGGUAAUACGGAGGUCCCAAGCGUUGUUCGGAUUCACUGGGCGUAAAGGGUGCGUAGGUGGUUGGGAAAGUUUGAUGUGAAAGCUCCGGGCUCAACCCGGAAAAUGCAUUGAAUACUACUCAACUAGAGGAUCGGAGGGGAAACUGGAAUUCUUGGUGUAGCAGUGAAAUGCAUAGAUAUCAAGAGGAACAUCAGUGGCGAAGGCGAGUUUCUGGACGAUUCCUGACACUGAGGCACGAAGGCUAGGGGAGCAAACAGGAUUAGAUA
rnacentral:rRNA from 1 species